rnacentral:rRNA from 1 species
GAUGAACGCUAGCGGCGUGCCUAAUACAUGCAAGUCGAGCGAACAGACGAGGAGCUUGCUCCUCUGACGUUAGCGGCGGACGGGUGAGUAACACGUGGAUAACCUACCUAUAAGACUGGGAUAACUUCGGGAAACCGGAGCUAAUACCGGAUAAUAUAUUGAACCGCAUGGUUCAAUAGUGAAAGACGGUUUUGCUGUCACUUAUAGAUGGAUCCGCGCCGCAUUAGCUAGUUGGUAAGGUAACGGCUUACCAAGGCGACGAUGCGUAGCCGACCUGAGAGGGUGAUCGGCCACACUGGAACUGAGACACGGUCCAGACUCCUACGGGAGGCAGCAGUAGGGAAUCUUCCGCAAUGGGCGAAAGCCUGACGGAGCAACGCCGCGUGAGUGAUGAAGGUCUUCGGAUCGUAAAACUCUGUUAUUAGGGAAGAACAAAUGUGUAAGUAACUAUGCACGUCUUGACGGUACCUAAGCAGAAAGCCACGGCUAACUACGU